CCUAUAGGCUAGGCUCAAACCAUUUGAGGUUGGCCUUUCGAUUGGGCUGCAGGUUCAGCCCCUUUCUUUCUUAUUGAACAAACAAUUUUUUUUUCUUCAGUUCCAUAAGUGGGCUUGAAGCCCAGCUCCUCUACAUCACUACUAUUUUGUAAGGCAUGGGAAACACAUAGCUGAAUUCCUAAAUACAGUUAAUCAAAACAUGAAAACUAAAAAUAACCAUUACAUUCUUCAAAUAAUUUAAGAAAACUCUCAAAUUACAUUAAUACCUAUGGAAUACAUAAACUAAGUUGUACUAAAGCUAAUCUAUUACAGAUCUUGGUUAACUGAUAUCAUGAAGAAUCCCUCCUCCUUUGGACAUGGUUUGUCCAUUAGAGCCUGGUCCCCUUUUGUGUUAGCAUGAUGUAAACUCCAAUUUCUAGCCUUUAAACCUGCUGAUUUGGCCAAUAAAUAGCCAAAUCCGUAGGUAUCAGCUUAUAACAGCACAAACAAAGGACAAAUAAAAGGAUUUAAAUAAAAAGGAAAGUUAUAUGUCCAAACAAAAGGUAAGAAACUGAAAAAAAAAACUCAAAACCAGCCCUAAUGGUUAACUUUGCAGGAUUGAAACUCAUAAAACAUUCAGACAUAGAUCAACUUGCUCAAGCUCAAAAUCUAAACUCACAUGUUCAGGAUUCAACUAUAUUCAUAUUAUUAAGGCUAAAUACUAUCAUAAAAAGACAUUCAUUUGCACCAAACAUUAUUUACAUGCAACUGAUUUCACAUUUCUUUAAUAACAAACAUUACAUGAGGAGAAUGAAAUUCAGUACAUUGCACAACAACAACAACAUAUCAACUAAAAGGUGCAAGAACUGGCUGAAACUCUAACCAGAAAGAGCAACAACAGGAUAGGAACCACAUCAGACCAAAAACCAAGUUUCAGACUCAAAAUCAAACACUUGAACCCAGAAAAUGAACAACUGAACCAAGAAACUCCCUAUUUCAAAUCAUUUCCAACUUGUAAAGAAUCAGAAGCAAAAUGAGGAGUUUUAAGAUUUCUGAAAAAAUAUGUUGUGAUUUCAGGGAUUUUGUGCAGAAUAUUGAAGCUGAAUCUGUAUGAAAAAUCUAUAUCCAAAUUUGUAUUUUUUAGAAUGAUUGAACCUAUAUAUAGGCUGCCUAUGGAGAAGGUAUCUUUUAAGCAUAUUCCUUAUCCUAAGGAAUAAUGGUACAGUCCUUUUAACAGCCCUUGGUACAGCUGUCCUAUAUUUCAGCACAUUUUUAUAACAGCUAGGACAUCCGUGCAUUUUCUAGAAAUUUCUGAUUUUCAGCUUAAGUAAAACCCCCUUUUUACCUUUUAGGUUACUACUUAUUUCAGUCUUAAUCUAAACAUUUCUAAUUCAAAUGGAUCCUUAAAGUUUUUACUGAUUUUCACAUCAGGGCCAACAUAAACAAACCUAAAGAAGAUCAAAAAUCUAAAUCAAAAGCCUAGAAGGAUCAUGAGACUACCACCUAGAAUUAAAAUCUAAAUUAUUCCCUAAAAGAAGAAGUUCUCUAAACAAAAAAACUGAGUUAUGACAUCUAAAAAGAGAAGGAAAAGACAAGGAGAUAGCAGGAAAAUAUUCAAAGAAAAACAGUGUCACCGAUUCAAACUCAUGCAAUUUGAGUAUUCAAGAUUCAAACAUGCUUUUAAUCAAUCGAAAACAAAUAAAUAACUAAACAUGUGAACGAAAAUCUGAACUUAGCCUAAACAUGCAACUAGUCAGAAAAGAAAAAAUAAAAUUACGGAGAAAAUUGGGUAACAAAACAAGCCAAACUAAAAACAAAACCUAAAACAACAUUAUCAGUUCCUAAUGGCCAAAUGCAAAACAAGAAAACUGGAACAUGCAAUUUGCAGACAGAACAAAACUCAAAGGAAAAUCAAACAAAAGAAAAGAGAAAGAAGUGGCUAGGAGAAAAGAAAAAGGAGAAUAAGAUAGAAAGAAAAAAAACUUGGAAAAUUACCUAUAAUAAAACAAUUGGAGCCGGAGGACUUGGUCGGAGUCAGGCCACUUCGAACAAUAGGUCCAAACCACAUGAGUCAACUACCCUCAUCAAAAGCAGUUUGGCUCAUGUAGAAUAGAGCCAUCUAAAACCCGGAAUCAAUUCUGGCAAAGGUUUUUUAAGCCUUAUGAAUCUAAGAUCUAAAAUUCGGGUAAAUUGGGGGUGAUUUGGAAGGGGAUAAAGGUAAUUUAGGGCUUAGAGAGGAGUAAGGGUUGUAGGGUGUGAAUUUGGAAUAACUAGGAUUUUGGCUGUGUCUUUCGAUUUAAGAUUUGAAGAGACCGACAAUGAUUCGAGGGAAAGGGAGUGGAGAUUUGGAAUGGGGAGGUGAAGGGGAGUUUGUGGUGUUAUUUUGGGGACGAUUGGACCACCGGAACUGCCGUGAGGCGAUUUUCGGUGGAGGCGGCGUGGGAUUAAAGGGUGGCUAGGGUUUGGGUGAUUUACAGAGAGAGAUGGAAAGUGAAAGGGU
rnacentral:lncRNA from 1 species